rnacentral:rRNA from 1 species
UGGUGGAGUGAUUUGUCUGGUUGAUUCCGUUAACGAACGAGACCUCAGCCUGCUAAAUAGUUGCGUGUUCUAACGAACAUGCUCAACUUCUUAGAGGGACUAUGCGUGCUUAACGCAUGGAAGUGUGAGGCAAUAACA